rnacentral:misc_RNA from 1 species
GGCACUUCCAACAUCCCUUCAGCCUUUGGAUUUACCUGGCAGUCAGAAUCGUCAAUCUCAUGAAAGAUCAUACCAAUCUGCAUGGGCAAGUUCAAGCAGGGGCAACCAUAAUGAGUUAGUUCUCUAUGAAAACAAAGGAAGCAGAGUAUUACCUCCGUCUUUGAUGCACAGAAAGGCCACUUCAGGUGUUCAGUAUACUAGUGUAAAUGAUCCCUUACAUUACCCUGGGACAGCUGAAGAGAGAGCUGCAGCAGCUGAUGAGAGACUGAUCUUUCAAGCUGCUCUGCAGGAUUUGAACCAACCAAAGGUAGAAGCUCGUCUGCCAGAAGGUCUUUUGUCAGUUUCUCUCCUAAGACACCAGAGAAUUGCUUUGGCAUGGAUGCUUCAAAAAGAAACUGGUAGUGUACAUUGUUCGGGUGGUAUUCUGGCUGAUGAUCAGGGUCUUGGUAAGACUAUUUCAAUGAUUGCCCUCAUACAGAUGCAGAGGUCAGCUCAGGAUAAGUCUAAAGCAAAAGAUCUGGAUGCUAUUAAAGCUGAAGCCUUGAAUUUGGAUGAUGAUGAUGAAAGUGGUGUUCCUGCUUCUCAGGAAACAAAUCAGUGUGGAGAAAUAGAUGGUGUUGAGGUGAUUACAGAUGCAAGAACUUCUAUAAAGGGGUUUAGACGUAGGAGGCCAGCAGCUGGUACAUUGGUAG